rnacentral:rRNA from 1 species
UACAGAGGUCCCGAGCGUUUGUUCGGAUUCAUUGGGCGUAAAGGGUGCGUAGGUGGCGCUGUAAGUGGGGUGUGAAAUCCCGGGGCUUAACCCCGGGACUGCAUUCCAUACUGCGGUGCUUGAGGACUGGAGAGGAGACUGGAAUUUACGGUGUAGCAGUGAAAUGCGUAGAGAUCGUAAGGAAGACCAGUGGCGAAGGCGGGUCUCUGGACAGUUCCUGACACUGAGGCACGAAGGCCAGGGGAGCAAACGGGG